rnacentral:misc_RNA from 1 species
AAGUCGUAACAAGGUUUCCGUAGGUGAACCUGCGGAAGGAUCAUUAACGUAUCUCUGGCGGCCCGGUUCGCCCUGCUCCGGCCGAGAGGCCGUGCAGCGGGCGUCCGGCGCUGUCCAAACCUUACAAACCCACCGUGCACACUCACGGCAAAAGGCCUUGGGCGAGAGCCCUUGGCCGGUCGCCGUUUCACAAACCCCGAACCUAUGAACGAAUGCGGCCUCUGUCGUCGCCUAACAAACGAAACAACUUUCAACAACGGAUCUCUUGGCUCUC